rnacentral:antisense_RNA from 1 species
UUUCUGUAUUCCGGGUUCUUGCCUUGGUGUACCAGAAGAACCCGAUCACCCAUGGGCUAGGAGAAUGAGUGCAACGUUUUAUUGAGUGGAAGUAACUCUCAUCUGAUGGUGGAAUCAGAAGGGAGAUGGUUUUCCCCUGGAGUUGGGCUGCUAGGUGGCCCUGUCUCUUCUCCGACUGCCCCGGCCAAACUCCACCUCGUCCUGCCAGUCAAUGGCCUGCCAGCAUGUCAGUGCCUCUCGGUGUGCUGUUCUGCUGGCAUGCUCCUCUUGACGACCAGCUCCUUGGGUCUUCCACCGAAGUGUUCCUCACAAUGUCCAGCCGCUCGUGUGUCUGCCCACUAGGGUCUCGGGUUUUUAUAGGCCCAGGAUUGGGGCGUGGUAGGCCAAGGUGGUCUUGGAAAAUGGCAACAUUUGGGCAUGAAAGCAGGAGUGCCUAUCCUCACCUAGAUCUAUGGGGGUGGGGCCCUAGCCAGGGACCCACCUUUCUCUACCCAGCACUUCCCCUCCCCCUUUCCGUAUCAUUUUACGGGACCACACUCUUCCCUUCCCAGUACUCCCGUAAUCAAUAGCACAUAAAACCUUUAGUUCUACUGAAAAUUUGGAGUGGUCUCUCCAUAGUUAGAGCACAUGUACUAUUUGGUAAGCUUACCCUUGGUAAUUCAUGAUACCAGCUGAAGACAUCAACACCAAUAAGUGAGAAGAUUCUUGCCAAGGGUGGAAGGAUUUGCUUGGUAAUAUAGUAAGUGGCAUUCAGUCUCAGAGUCGGGUCCUGCAAGACUUCCACUGGGCGCCUUACAAGCUGGAUAAGUGGUACUCCAGGGGUCCCAUAAAUGAUGACGUAUGGUACUCGCUCCCCAACCUGAGGCUCAGAGCGCCGGUCAUAAGUCAGCAUUUUCCUAUUCAAAUCCAAAGAAAAAAACCACACCCAAAUAUUGUCAUGGAAGCCAUCUUUCUCACAAAUUAAGUCAGAAUUAAACAAUAAUAAAACAAUGAAAAAACUACAAAAGACACUUUCAAAACAGAAUUACUAUUUCUUUGAGAAUAAUAUACAUUUUGCUUAGUUGACACCAAGUGUAGAUAUCCUACAAGAGUUUAAAAAUUACUCCGUAAAUCAUUGUUACCUGGAAAAUAAUGAGUUGGCAGAUAUCAACUAGCUUAAGAUGUACUUUAGGUGGGAGUGGUGGCUCAUGCCUGUAAUUCCAGCACUUUAGGAGGCCAAGGAUCGCCUGAGCCCAGGAGUUUGAGACCAGCUUGGGCAACAUAGUGAGACCCCCAUCUCCACAAAAAAAUUAGCCACCAUAAUGGUGCACACCUGUUAUCCCAGCUACUUGGGAGGCUGAUGUGGGAGGAUCGUUUGAGCCUGGGAGGUCAAGGCUGCAGUGAGCUGUGAUUGCACCGCUGCUUUCCAGCCUGGGCGACAGAGUGAGACUCUGCCUCCAGGGGCAGGAAAAAGAUGUAUUUUAUCCCCUAAGAAUGAGAACUAACUAUCAUAAAUCUAUCAUGAAAGAUAAGAGAAAAUUUACCUGGUUAAACUAUCUGAUUCCAGAAUGAUACCAUCUAAAUGCUUUGGUAGAACAAUAUUAAGGACUACCUAGUGAUUUUGAUGUGGGAAAAACAAAUGAAUCAAGCACUGUGUCACAAUUUCUUUGCGUAAGUUUCUGAAGGAAAGCCCAAAGAGGAUUUCCUCUUCACACCUUACAAAGUAUGAGGGAGUAUUCACUAACUUUCAGUGAGGCUUCAUGUGCACAGGUAAAGAAACAAUUUUGUGUCUGUGUCUAUGGACUGUCUUUUCAUUUGGGUCUUCUAGACCUGUGCAGAAUCUCAGGGCUAUCCUGGCAAGGUACUGAGGGUAUCAUUACCUUGUAAGUUCAAGGGCUGGCACACAAGCUCCUGGUUUAUAAGAAAAACUUCCUCUGUAUUCCUUGGCAAAGAUAAAGUCUUGUAUGCUGGCCUUUCCUUCCAGAAGCUUCAUACAUUGUCGCUGAACAUACUGUUUAAUUAGACUUAUAUCUCUCGUUUCAAAUAGCAGCUUUAGAGAACGCUCAAGUAUCUUAAAACAAAAAAGAUAUGCAAGUAAAGAUAAAAUACCUCCUAGUAUGUUUCACCAUUGUUAUUACACUUUCAAUUAUGUAACUACUGGGUAACCUGCUAACCUACCUAAAUAAUCUGUUACUUACAAUGAUGGGAUAAUAAAAUUAUUAAAAAUUGAAAGUUAUUUGAGACUUUAUAGAGCUUGCUAUUUCUAAAAAUAGAAUAUCAUGUAGUUUAAGGAAAAUCAUGUGGAAUGACAUGCAGAUUAACAUUUGCUAUGUGAUAAGCAACAUAAAACACGUAAGUUUUUUUUUUUUAAUAGUCAAAGCCUCUAGGUACAAGAAACCAGACACGAUUUCAUGUAUUGUUUUUUUAUUUACCAGUAUAGAAAGGGUCCUGAUUCAGUCACAGGAAGCACAGAGAAGUUUAAAGAUCACCAGGCAGUCAAAUCAAAAUCAGCCUUUUUGACUUUUUAUAAUGUUGAUAAAUAACUAUGACAGAAUUUUCUGUGUUGGAAAUUUCUACUAGGAAAUAACCAGCAUGCAGUGGAUUUACGUAAGAUUAAUUUUUUUUUUUUUUUUUUGAGACGGAGUCUUGCUCUGUCACUCAGGCUGGAGUGCAAUGGCGUGAUCUCGGCUCACUGCAACCUCUGCCUCCCGGGUUCAAGCGAUUCUCCUGCCUCAGCCUCCCGAGUAGCUGGGACUACAGGCGUGUGCCACCACGCCCGGCUAAUUUUUUGUUUUAGUAGAGACGGGGUUUCACCGUGUUAGCCAGGAUGGUCUCGAUCUCCUGACCUCAUGAUCCGCCCGCCUCGGCCUCCCAAAGCGCUGGGAUUAUAGGCGUGAGCCACCGUGCCCGGCCAAGUAGAUUAAGUUAGUUCUAGGUGAAAGCUCUGUGUCUUAUUCUGAAUACUGGAACCAAUGGAUAUUUAUACAAUAAGCUUAUUAAUUUAGCUUGAGUACAAGUCUGCCUACAGAGAAAGAAGGUACUGGAUUAUAUCUCUUCCAGAAAUACUGCUGGAAAAAACCCCAAAUUCACAUAAUAUUAUAUAUAUGACAUAAUAUAUUGAUAAUAUUCAAUCCACUAUGCUUUUAAUGCUCUCAUCAAACAGUAUAUAGAAUGCUAUUCCCAUUUAUACCAUUUAUUUUUGUUUUGCUAUAGAAGGAGUCUAGGCCUGAGUAAAGAAAAAGCCAAAAAAUAUCAUGGUUAUUAUGGCUGAGAAAUUUGAGUAAUUUAUAGCUAAUUGUUUGGAAAUCUUCCUAAUUUGUAUUUGAUAAUCCAAAUAAAUGAAAGUUCAGUUAAUCUGGAAUGGAUUAUGUUACUUAUGCAAUCUCUCUGUUUCUCUCUAUUUUGAUGGAGUCUCACUCUCUUGCCCAGGCUGAGUGCAGUAUUGUGAUCUUGGCUGUCUGCAGCCUCCUCCUCCCGGGUUCAAGUGAUUCUCACACCUCAGCCUCCUGAGUAGCUGGGAUUACAGGCAUGCGCCACCACACCUGGAUAAUUUUUGUAUUUUUAGUAGAGAUGGGGUUUCACUAUGUUGGCCAGGCUGGUCUCGAACUCCUGAUCUCAAGUGAUCUGCCUGCCUUGGCCUCCCAAAGUGCUGGGAUUACAGGCGUGAGCCACCACACCUGGUCUGUUUGUCUUGUUUAUCCUGCUCUGCUUUCGGGAGUUGUCACACUAUGACAUAUAUGAUCUCCAGGCAAUAGGCAGGAAACUCUCAUGUAUUGCUUUUUAGUAAUUUUUGAUAAAACGUAAGGUAUGGGAGGAAGUCAGAAACUUAAGGACUAAAAUCAAAUAAAUUGUUUUUAUUAGAAAUAAAAUUCUAGCUACUCAGGAGGCUGAGGCGGAAAGAUUGCUUGAGCUCAGGAGGUCAAGGCUGCAGUGAGCCAGGAUUGGACUACUGCACUCCAGCCUGGGUGACAAAGUGAGACCCUGUCUCAAACAAACAAAAACAAAAUAAGAUACUACAAAUAAAAUUCUCAAAAUUCAUGUAGUUACUCCUAUAGUCAUAUUAAUUAUAUAGGCUAUAUAGUUCCUUCACCUAGAUGUAUGUUUAAGGAUAGUUACAUUUUCACCAGAUACUUUAGCCACUUACUUCUUACAGAUGAAGACAAGACAGAUAAACCUUACCUUAGAAACAGCAGGGCAGGAAUCUCUUCUGACUGUUUCUAUUCCUUUUGCAUCAAAUACCGGGUCCUUCUGAUCCAGUGUUUCAUACAUGUAACCCACAUACCUCUUUUUUGUUUGUAAAACACAGGGCAAAUAUACCUGUGGUAAAAUUAAUAAAAUGCCUCUU